AUUGAACGCUGGCGGCAGGCCUAACACAUGCAAGUCGAACGGUAGCACAGAGAGCUUGCUCUCGGGUGACGAGUGGCGGACGGGUGAGUAAUGUCUGGGAAACUGCCCGAUGGAGGGGGAUAACUACUGGAAACGGUAGCUAAUACCGCAUAACGUCGCAAGACCAAAGUGGGGGACCUUCGGGCCUCACACCAUCGGAUGUGCCCAGAUGGGAUUAGCUAGUAGGUGGGGUAAUGGCUCACCUAGGCGACGAUCCCUAGCUGGUCUGAGAGGAUGACCAGCCACCCUGGAACUGGGACACGGUCCAGACUCCUACGGGAGGCAGCAGUGGGGAAUAUUGCACAAUGGGCGCAAGCCUUAUGCAGCCAUGCCGCGUGUAUGAAGAAGGCCUUCGGGUUGUAAAGUACUUUCAGCGGGGAGGAAGGCGGUGAAGUUAAUAACUUCACCGAUUGACGUUACCCGCAGAAGAAGCACCGGCUAACUCCGUGCCAGCCGCCGCGGUAA
rnacentral:rRNA from 1 species